UUUUGUAGCGUAAAAGCAAAAUAUAUUCUUAUAUACAGUAACAUAGAUAACUAGAGUAUGUAAUUUAAUUUACAAUGACGUGUGGGCCCCCCUCGAAUGACCAAAAGUAACGAAGGCUGCGAACCUACAGUUUUGAGGAUGCAAAUCCAACUGUAGCCCUCGACGAAAUCAGUUAUCUACAGACUAACCUGAGCCUAAAAUGGGUGGAAAUGAGGGGUGAGUUUUUAUAAACCCAAUGAGUAAACAAACAUCAUCUCAAAUAUCUAAAGCCGAGUAAAUGAAGACAACUUAAAAUAGUUCAUCGUACUAUGAUUCAUAACGUUUCAAACUCAUUUCAACUUAACAAAAUAAAUUCAUUUCACUCAAAUAAUCAACAUGGCUUAUGAAUUUCUUAAAAAUUUGGCUCGUGCCAAAACUUAUUCUCGGGGAUACCUUGGCCGAGGCAUCCAACCGAGUCCUCCAAGGCUGUUAAAGAAAAGUUCAUAUACUCAUAAAACACAUUUUUACGUUUAAAAGCAUAGCCGUUCCUUGGCGUUGGUUGAGUUCACCCUCAAGUGGUGGUUUAGCGUGUAGUGAACUCUAAAGCUUUACCUUAGGAGAUACCCUCCGCGCCUCUCGUACUAAGGUAAAUAUAAUGGGGUUUACCGUGCCCCUCUAAUAGGCUGGUCCACGAUAACCCGCCCACUGCAGUAAC
rnacentral:lncRNA from 1 species